rnacentral:rRNA from 1 species
CAUGCAAGUCGAGCGGGCUUAUUCGGGCAACGGAUAAGUUAGCGGCGAACUGGUGAGUAACACGUAGGUAAUCUGCCGUAGAGUGGGGGAUAACCCAUGGAAACAUGGACUAAUACCGCAUAUACUCUUGCUACAUAAGUAGAGUAGAGGAAAGGAGCAAUCCGCUUUACGAUGAGCCUGCGGCCUAUUAGCCUGUUGGUGGGGUAACGGCCUACCAAAGCUACGAUAGGUAGCCGACCUGAGAGGGUGACCGGCCACAUUGGGACUGAGAUACGGCCCAGACUCCUACGGGAGGCAGCAGCUGAGAAUCUUCCACAAUGGACGAAAGUCUGAUGGAGCGACAUCGCGUGAGGGAUGAAGGCCUUCGGGUUGUAAACCUCGGAAAUUAUCGAAGAAUGAGUGACAGUAGAUAAUGUA